GUUACCUGGCAUCACUGAUUCAAAGAUAAACAAUUCUACAUCAGCAGCUUAUUCGUAACCUCUGUAACGCAUGGUCAUGAAAUAAAAGCUCAGUUUCUUCCAUCUUCCAUCAUUUCAUUUUACAAUUUUAACGUGCUUAUUCGUAAUUUUGUCCUCUAGAGAGACGUUUUCCAUUUUUGACUAAAGUACCGAAAGUGGAUUCGUCCGUGACAUACUUGCCUCAACCACACGGUUUGCAGGUGGCAAUUCGUAUGUCUUCUUUUGCCCAUAAGCAGUCCUUCCUGUUUCAUCUGGCCUACGAGAAUCCAUAGCCGGCGACAGAAGCAGGACAUCAGCGCUCUAGGAUGGCCGUGACUGGGGAUUGCCGUUUUCUAGGUUAGAAAGUGUUUCGUAUGAUUUGUGUGAAAUGUGAUUUCAGUACGGAAAACAAAUGAAUAAAAUGUUUGUCUAACUUUUCAAAA